UAUAUUUUUUAAAAGCAUAUUCUACUCAUAAAGAGGAACAAAUGGUCAUAGACAGAGCAAAAACACAAAAGGUGAGGGAAAUCCAAGGUGAAUCCAAGACACAUAAACAGCAAGGAGAAAUGUUACAUAGUGUGAAUCAAAGAAAACGAACGUUAAGAGAGAUUGAUGGAAGGAAGAUGGUGUUUACCUAUUCGCAGAGAUGACAUCGGCGAUGGAAAGAGCGAUGUUGGAUCGUCUUCUUCAAAUGCUUUCCCUCCCGUCGGUUUCUUUCAAGCGUAUUCGCCCGCCGACUUUUCUUUCGAUACCGGCUUCGUCUAAACGGUGUCAAGAUGAAGUUCUUGGAUCCUUUGAGGAACACGCCGCCUCCCGUUCUCUAAAUUUUCCUCCUUUUCUUUUAAUUUUGUUGAUUUUCAGUUUUCGCCGUCGAAAAAUUAUUAGGGUUCUCUUAUGAACAGUAGUCCCUCUUAUAUACGACUCGUCACUCUUUCUUUCUCUCUGCUGUGUUUCUUCAGGGUAGUGGAGCGUGUUCGUACGGAAGCCGUUUGGAGAUUUUGUCCUCAUCCCCAGUUUGUGGUCCCUCCUUCAAUUCCUCUCCAUCUCCAAAACUUCACCGUUGAUUGCCUGAACUGUUGCUGCUGCUGAGCAAGAAGUUGCUGUUGCUGCUGUUGAGGUUAUUCAAGCAGCAGCAGCAGAGACACAACAACGAUAUCAAAUUUCAGUUUCCCUACAACAGGAAAAUCUCCUCCAAAUACAAAUAAUGCCAAGCAUGUCCAGCAGCACCCAACAUUUUGUAUGACUUCACUUUGUUUGCAUUGAAUUGUACUAAUCUCUUGGAAAGAAAAGCCGGCUCUGAAUUCUUUGAUUGAUCUGUUAAUUACUGUUUAGAAUACCAUCUUUAUCAUAAACCAGUUUGGAUUUU